UACUUAGUGGCAGACGGGUGAGUAACAUGUGGGUAUCUACCCUUUGGCCUGGAAUAACACGAGGAAACUUGUGCUAAUACCGGAUAAGUCUUUACGGAGAAAGCUUUAUGCACCAUUGGAUGAGCCCGCACUUGAUUAGUUUGUUGGUAGGGUAAUGGCCUACCAGGACUAUGAUCAAUAGCUGAUUUGAGAGGAUGAUCAGCCACAUUGGGACUGAGACACGGCCCAAACUCCUACGGGAGGCAGCAGUGGGGAAUCUUGCACAAUGGAGGAAACUCUGAUGCAGCGAUGCCGCGUGAGUGAAGAAGGCCUUUGGGUUGUAAAGCUCUUUCGUCGGGGAAGAAAAUGACUGUACCCGAAUAAGAAGGUCCGGCUAACUUCGUGCCAGCAGCCGCGGUAAUACGAAGGGACCUAGCGUAGUUCGGAAUUACUGGGCUUAAAGAGUUCGUAGGUGGUUGAAAAAGUUGGUGGUGAAAUCCCAGAGCUUAACUCUGGAACUGCCAUCAAAACUUUUCAGCUAGAGUAUGAUAGAGGAAAGCAGAAUUUCUAGU
rnacentral:rRNA from 1 species